ensembl:lincRNA
CUCUUUCUCCAGCUCAGCCACUUGGCUGGAACAGCAGCCGGGAGGUGGGAGCUGGCCAGACUCCUCCCCCUUCUCCUUUAUCUUUCCUCCCUAGCCAGCUUCUCCUCCCCCGGAAGGUGGCUCGGGCUCCCCGGGUCACUGCUUCCCGCCAGCUGGAGAAGGGAGGCAGCAGCUAUCUUAACAACCCAAGUCAAGGCCGAGUCUCUGAUUGUCUGUGCCGGGGAGGCUCCCUCCUCCGUCCUUCCCUCCCUCCCUCCCUGGCUCCCUCGGGAUGGGGUCACAGAUGUGUUUAUCUUGUUGGAGGAGGUGGGGAGGGAUGGUGGGCCACAGUCUGCAAGCCACUGAAGGCGCAGAGGGCCCACUAGGGUCCUAGUGACAUCUAGGACAGGAGGGUUGCAUUUUGGUCUUCAUGAUGUUCAGCUCUUUAGUUGGAAGAAGAUGGAUGAGAGUUCAUUAGGUGCAAGGUCUCUUCCUGCUCAAAAAUUCUGUGACGACCAGAUAGAAGGCUGCGGGGGAAGGUUAUUGGCUGGGAGGUCCUUGGAGAAGGUCAAACAGGGAGAAUGGACUCCACUGUCACUGCCCCAAAACAAGACAAAUGCGGAUACCGAGGGGAUGGAGUACCUGGGAUUUACAACAAUACAGCAAGAUUCAAAACCUGGCUGAGACCUGGCGCAGUGGCUCACAUCUGUAAUCCCAGCACUUUAGGAGGCCAAGGUGGGUGAAUUGCCUGAGGUCAGGAGUUCAAGACAAGCCUGACCAACAUGGUGAAACCCUGCCUCUGCUAAAAAUACAAAAAUUAUUCAGGCGUGGUAGUGCAUGCCUGCAAUCCCAGUUAGUCUUCUCAAGAUUCUUCCCUUGUGAAGCUUCUAUUGUAUUUUGGGUUUUUUGUUUUGUUUUGUUGUUUUUUUAAGAGAGGCAGGAUCUUCUUCUGUCACCCAGGCUAGAGUGCAGUACUGCGAUCAUAGUUCACUGCAGCCUCCACUUCCUGGGCUCAAACGAUCCUCCCACCUCAGCCUCCUGAGUAGCUGGGACUAUAGGCAUGUGCCACCGUGCCUAGCUAAUUUUUAAGAAAUUGUUUUGUAGAGACGGGGUCUCGUUAUGUUUUCCAGGGUGGUCUCAAACUCCUGGACUCAAGCAGUCUUCCCACCUCAGCUUCCCAAAGUGUUGGGAUUACAGGCGUAAACCACCAUACUCAGUCAUUAUAUUUUAUUCUUAUAUUUGUUUAUAACUCCAUCUCAAGACAAUUGUUCACCAACUGGAUUUUGAGGUCUCUGUAUCUUCCAAGAAUUUAGGACCCCUUAGCCUAAAGCAGGACUGACUUAAGGACCCUUUGUGUGGUAGACCUUACUAUUGGACAAACAUUAUACUUCCCUGCCCCAGGAGAGUUGAGGUUUGGCCAUAUGACUUGCUUUGGCCAAUGAAACGUGAGCAGCAGCGACAGGCGUCACUUCUAGACAGAAGUUUUAAGAAUUAGUGAGUGAUUCCAUGUGUCGAUCUUUUUUCCCUCUGCUGUGAAACCAUAAGUGCUCCAGAUCCAGGAGUCCCGGUGUCAUGCCAUCAGCCCAGGAGUGAAAUCAACAGAGCAGUCCAUGACCGACUCAUAAUGAACAUGUAUUACAAAUGAAAAAUAACCUUUCUUAUUGUAAGCCACCAAGAUUUUAUGAUUGUUAUCACAGCAUAACCACACCCACCUUGAUGUUGUUUUUGUACACUAGUUGUGUCCAAUAAAGUUGAUUAGACAGGUUGUUUUCUAUCUCCCUACUGACUUUUUUUUUUUUUUUUUUUUUGAGACAGGGCCUCGCUCUGUGGCCCAAGCCGGAGAGCAGUGGCGCGAUCCCAGCUCACUGCAGCCUCAACCUCGCCGACUCAAGCGAUCCUUCCACCUCAGCCUUUCAAGGAGCUGGGACCACAGGUGCAUGCCACCACACCCGGCUAAUUUAUUAUGUUGCCCAGGUUGGUCUCGAACUCCUGAGCACAGGCGAUCUGCCUGCUUCGACCUCACAAAAUACUGAGAUUAUAGGAGUGAGCCACCGUGCCUGGCCUCCCUACUGACUUUUCACUGGGAAAUGAUCGACUGAUUCCGGUAGAUGACACUAAACCUUCCAUAGACUACAUGUAGCUUCAUUUGUUAUAUUCAUGGCUCUCCCACACUGUUCUUCCUGCCACUUCUAAAGGACAAGGCUUUAUCAAUCUGGGUUGUAGUGUCCCAUUUUUUAAAUUGGUGGGACCAUUUAAUUCACACUUUCAUGUAUCCUAGCCUGAACAUUCAAGGUGAGUCGACUGGUUGUAUCAAGGAUACCCACAUCC